rnacentral:rRNA from 1 species
GAUCAUGGCUCAGGAUGAACGCUAGCUACAGGCUUAACACAUGCAAGUCGAGGGGAAACGACAUCGAAAGCUUGCUUCCGAUGGGCGUCGACCGGCGCACGGGUGAGUAACGCGUAUCCAACCUACCCAUUACUGUGGGAUAACCUGCCGAAAGGCAGACUAAUACCGCAUAGUCUUCGAUGACGGCAUCAGAUUUGAAGUAAAGAUUUAUCGGUAAUGGAUGGGGAUGCGU